GCAGUGGUGGAGUGGGCAGGCAGGCAAGCAGGAUAGCUAGCUGGGGGAUGGGCUGGAUGGUUGGUUGCCUAAAUGAAUGCAAGCCACCCAGUAAGAGUACAGAUAACCGCAUAAUUAACCAUGCAGCAGCAGCAACAGUAGCUGUUGCUGCUUGCAUGGUUAAAAAGAAAUUGCUUUAUGUGUGCAGCAAUACUACUGUCAACAACAAGUCUAUACACACAGCAGUAGCAGCAGUUAGAGUCUCUGCUGCAUCAUCACAGUUUCUGCCCUGCUCACGGAGGAAGCAUAUUAACCUGACUGAGCAACUUAACAAUGCUUAUUCACUUGCCUUCUGCCCAGCUGCAAACCUUUCAUUGCAAAGCAAGGCAAUAAAGUAGUCCUGAUCAACACACUAAAGAAAAAAAAAAUCUCGAAUAUUUACAUUAUCAAUCAUCUUUUUCAGUAAAUCUCAACUCUGUAUUCAUGUUCUGUUUCUAUUAGUUGAGCGGUAAGUAAACACUUAGCAACAAAUUAUUAACUUUCUUUCUUGAUGUUAUAGUUUCUUGUGUUUUUUUUAUUGAUUUUUUAAAAAAAGGAAUUGAUAAUGGGUCGUAUGUGUGUAUAAGCGCGUGCGUGUGUGUUUGUUUGUAUGUAUCUCUCUCUCUCUAUAUAUAUACACAUAUAUAUAUAUGUAUGUAUAUAAACUUUCUGACUGAUUUUGUCACUGAAUGUUACUCAGUAAACUCUCUUGUUAGUGUUGUUAUCUACUUUUUUUUUCCUUCCUCCUCUCACUACCUACUCUAUUCCUAGCAUAUCAAUAGAUUGUUUAAAUUUCGCUUGGUCUCUUAGUCCCCGAUACUUUUUUUGUCUGAAUUCUUUUUCGUUUGUUUCUGUUUUUUCUCUCUUUUUUUUUAAACAUGUCAUGUCUCAUACUGACAUUCCACUAAAACAGUUAUUUGUAGUCUACUUUAAAUAUAUAGUUCCACUCUGGAAACCAACCUUACAUACAAUAAAAGCUCGUUUUCUCAUAACUCGCAACUAGGUUGUUGUAAUGUGUAAAAGAUAAGUUUUUUUUUUUCAGCCUAUAUAUUUUACUUUAUGAGAAUAACAUCUACGUGUUUCCAAUGAACUGUUUAUAUAUAUAAAAAGGAAAAGAAUGAACGGAGUAGGGCCAGUGUUAGUGUUUAAGGUGUGGGUAUAGAUGAAGAAUUAGAGAUGAAGAAACUGUAACACACAUGCACACGUGUCUGCUCUACUUACUUCCUGUAAUUAUCUGAUGCUGUUACAUAACAAUUACUAAUUUGGGGGUCUCUCUCUUUCCUCCCCUCUCUUCUCUCUUUCGUACACCCAAUUACUUUCAUUCAACAUCAAAGGAAAAGAGAAUCCAAAUUAUUUUUGCUUCGUUUUAUUUUUGUUUCAUCUGUACUUUUCAUAAAUAUUUUGUUUACCUGUUUAGUGCUUAAUAAUUUUCUGGUAUAUUUGUGGUUAUAAUGUAAUUUAACCAGAACUAUUUUCUUUGAGUAAAAAAAUACUUUUAGAUCCACUCACUACAGUUACAUUAAUAAUAACAUUUUCAAAUAUUUAUUUAACUAGAUUUUAAAAAUUUAUUUAUAUCGUUUUAAUGAAAAGAACCUUCUCUAAUCUAAGUAUUUUAGGAGUGUUAUUUAAUUUACCUCUAAACAUGACAUGUGGGAGUGUAUGAACCAGAAAUGUUUUUGUUACAAUGCUAUUUGACCGGAUAUUUUCUAAACUUUGCAAAUUCAACUUUUUGCUUGCUAAUUAAUAUACUCACUGGUUAAAAAUAUGCUAAUCAUUUAUUAGUGCUAUAUUUUCAUGUGAAGUUUUAGUUGUUUUGGGGGAGGGGGAUAUGUCACUGUUUUUAUCUGCACACACCAAAAGCAAAAAAGCAAAAAAAAAAAAAAGAAUUAAAAAACAAACUUUCUCUGUUAAGAAAAUUCUGUGCUUUGUUUACUGGUGGUAGCAAAAAGUGUUCUCAGUUGUCCAGCAGUCAGCUGAUCAUUACUUUCUUAUUGCUGUUGGUGGUGGUUAUUAGCUGAUGCUACUUGUAUCUGAAUGCUUCCACAUUACAUGAAAAGAAUUUGGUGAUCAACAUUUUAACAAAUGUUCACACAAGUCUAAAUAAUAUGCUGAAAGUAAUUUGAUAUUUAGCAAAAAAAAAAAAAAAAAAAGUAAAAGUACAUUUGAAUUAAGUUGAAGGUUUAAUAAACAGAACCAGCUGUUUGUGAUGUGUUUGAAAUAAACUGACCUUUUUUUCUACACUUUAAAAAAAAAAAAAUUGAGUACAUUUUUUUUUUUACCGUCAGAGUCACUACAAUAUCUGGAAGCAUUAUAUUGGAAUGUUAAAAAAAAUACCUUAAUCAUACAGUAAGUUCUUCUUUAAAAAAAUAAUUUCUUAUAUGAUUUAGAAACUUUUGAUUAAAAACAAAGUAAACAUAUCUUAAAAGCAGAUUCAUUGAACUAAUUUUAUUUCUGUGCUGUUAAAAAUGCUAUUAACUUGUUUUUUAUUUCCUAUGCAAAAACAAGUUUGAAAAGAAAGUACCAUCAUAUACGGGUAGUGAGAGAGAUAGUAAUUUAAAGGCUUCUACACUUGGUUGAUAAUGUAACCUAGCUGUUACAAAUCAGUUUUAUACACUCGGCAUAAGUUAUUGUAGAUAAGGUUUAAAACAAAAUUUACUUUUCAUACAUAGACUAUUUAUAUACCUACAUAAGCAAGCACACUUGUGUGAGUGUGUGUGUGUGUAAUAGUUUCUGACAGUAAAGCAAGGGUUUUAUAAUCAACAUUAAAUAUAAGUACUUUUGUAAAAAUCACGAAAAAUCGUUGUUUCAUUAUUUAGAGUUUUAACAAAAGAGCUAUACACACUCAUACACUAGCAGACGAAGUAAAUUUUCUGUAAGCUGAGAUUGGUUAAUUUACUCUAGUAUACAGUUUAGGCACCGUCUUAUUUUCAUUUAGUAUUUGUUUUUCUAUAUUUGCACGAGGUUAAUGAUUUUGCUUCGCUUGAUUUAUCCAUUUCUAAGCUGCACAAACGAUGUGUUUAAGUAGAUUGAAAAUGUUUAUAAAGUAGAUGCCCUUCUUGAUGUGAGGAGGAGAUAAAUAAAACUGAUGAUGGCAACAAUUGUUAAUAAAACUGAGCAAUGAAAUAAUGCAAAUACAGAGAAGUUACACUAAUAUUAUGCAACAAUAGUCUGCAGAACAUUAGUAAUAUCUUAAACUGCUGCCACAUGCAACUAUCAGAUGCAUGUAGAUAUAUGCAGCUAUUUAAAUGGUUCCCAUCUAUUUCUUAUUAGUUCUUGAAAACAUGACAUCCUUUUUUUGUUUUGUUUUUAUGCUUAGUGUUAAGUGGGAUGGUCUAAAAUUAGUAUGGACAUUUGUAUUUUAUUAAAGGGAGUGUUUUUAGAGCCAGAUGUUUGUUAAGCUAGAGCGGCUCCUAUUUUUCUAUGAGCAAGGCCAAUUUAGCAGAGUAAUGUGCCUUCCCUGUAGAUCAUAACACAACGACUGUAAUGAGGCUUGAACUCAAGUAUGUUUGACCAGUAAUGCAACGCCUUACUUUGGGAAAAAUAAUCCUAAAAGCUUAGUUUUUGUAAGAUCUAUCCAUUGACUUUACAAAAAUCAAUUUAUCAACAUUCUCCUAUACUUGUCUUGCACUUUAUAAAAGUUUAAAUUUGCAAAUUAUUUUGUCAAUUCUGACAUAAUAAUUUCAAUGUUAGCACCUGUUCCUUUUACCGGAGCAUGUCUUCUGCUGUCAGCUUCAACCUUUUCCAUUAUAUAUUAGCAUUAUAAAAGUUUUCCCUCACUCAAAAAAACUUUUCACCACUAAUUUUUAUGACUUCCUCGUACAUCAAUCCCUUUUUUUUAUAUGGUGUGUACCCUGGAAUAAUAGCAUGAAUCAAGUCUGUGAAUGCAUCCAGAUAGUUCAUUUACUUGACUAGUUCUCUCAGGAAAGUUAUGAUGAUUAUCACAAUUCUGUUAUCUCUACCCCUUUGAUGUCAGUAGGGAUGAUCACCUGUUGAUGAAUAUCUUUGCUUGAUAAAUAGUCAUGCAGCUGACUAUUAUAUAUCAUUGGGCUAUUUCUAUCAAAGAAAUGUGUCUUUUGGUUCCCAUGGACUUUUUUCAACUUGGCUGAGUUUAGUCAUUUUCCCAAAUUUACAUUGCAUACUCAGUGGUAUGUUUAUUCUUCUUCAGCUUUUUCUAUUUUCCAUGGUUCACUGCCAUCCACUAAUACCUCACUUUUCACAAAUACAUCUCUUAAUAAUAAAGUAAAUCAGUUGUUUUAUGGUUUCACUCAACUUAGAAAUCAUAACAUAUGUGAUAGAGGCACUAUAUAAUAGUUUAUUUUCCAAAGCAACUAUUCAAGUGUUUUUUCUAAAACUUAAUCUCUCUUAAUUUGAAUUAUAUCUUCAAUAUACCACUAUUGAACUUUAUCAUCAGUUUCUACUGUUAUAUAAAAUAUCAUCUCAGUAUUUUUGUAUUGUUUUUGUGAAUUUAAUUCCUGAUCUGUUUUGUUAAGUUCUUCAUGACCUACUAAGAAAUCUUGUAAAUAUAAGUUAGAUUUCAGAACAAAACAGUAUCGUGUCAACAUGUUUCUAGUACAACGUUUCAUAAUUCUUGGAAAAUAUAUAAGUUUAGGUACUUAGAGGAUAUCACUCUAUUAACCCUUUAGUAUUCAGAUUACACUGUCAAAUGUAAUAUAUUUUUUAUUCAAAUUGUUUUGAAUUCAUCAAGCAUUAUCUUAUAGCUUUGAGGUUUCAAUGAUGUGAUUGUUUAUUUUUAGAAUGGCAUUGUAGGUUAGGUGUGAAAGGCUAGAUAUGGCCAGUUUGAAUAUAAAACAUAUUGAAUAUUUGGGCCGGAUAUGGCCGGUUUAAACACUAAAGGGUUAAAUGUUUAAUGGGUGGAGUGAUUAACAUAAGUAAAUAACUGCACUGGUCAAGGUAUGACUGCUGGAAAUUUUGGCAAAAUGUUACCAAUUUAAUCCUCAAAUUUUAUAAGUUCCAAGCAGUAAUCAAUAAAGUUUUUGAAAAUAUCUUUAGUUUUCAAAACUAAGAGUGGCUAACAGUGGGGAAGGGUGUCCGCCUAUUAACAUAUUUUGAACAAAUAUAUCUUACGUUAAGUAUUUACAUGAAACCCAGGGAGCCAACUCUUGCUGUAAAAUUAAAAUAUGGCUUUACUGCAUGAACAAGUCACAAAUAGUUUAUUUUGGUAUGCACAAAAUAUUUCUAAAAGAUCAAAAAGUUGUUUAAUGUUCACGAAGUGAUUUUUACAAGUCUGUUUCAUCCCACUGAAUCUCAGAAAGGGAUCUUUCUUCUAGUAUCUAUUUAUUUAGAAGUUGACAUACCCCCAGUGAUAAUUAACAAAUAUAAAUCCUUCUUUAUAUCUGAUUAUAUUCUGAGACAACUCAUUAGUUAAUGUCAUAUAUAGCUGUCAACAAAGUCAGUAUAAAACUUAAUUUUUUCUGAAAAUAAUUUCAAACAGAAUACUUUUAAAGUUUCUUGAUUAGUUCAGAACACUAAUCAACUGAACACUUAUGUCCUACUUAUUAGUUGAUUUUAUAAAAUAUUAAUAAUACAGAAUAAUUGUCUUAUUUUUAUUUAUUUAAAUCACAAAUAAAAUACAGUAAAAUAAUUUUUUUUAUUAAAAAAAACAUAACAUUUAAGUAUUAGUUUUUAAAGAAAUUCCAUUAUAUUUUUCUAUAAAGUUUUACAGCCAUUUUCCCUAUGGUAGCUUGUUCCAUGUUUUCAGAUUUAGAUAUUUACAUAAAAUGUUGAUUAAUGAACUCUAUGGAUAAAUGCUCAUCUUAAUGCUUUUACCAUUCAGUUAGACAAUAAGUACGGUCCCUAUAUUUUUUCCUUUGAUUUGGUUGCUUGUCUUAGGUGUGAAAUACUAUAAGUUUUGAUUAUAAAUAUUCAAAUAUUAAACCAUACAGCUUCGUCUUUUUAUCCUUAUUAAAGCAUAAGAGAAUGUCUUAUGGCUGAAUUAAAUACUUAAUUACAAUAUCUUAUAUACACACAUACAAAUUGGUCAACAUCAAGUUGUUUUCUAAAUUCUUUUUAUCGCAUGCAGUGAAACAACUGCUACUUCAGCAACAGUCAAACUGUUACUGAAAUAUUUCUCGACCCUAAAUACAAAGAUGUGUCCCGGUUGACAUAGUUUUAGAAAACAAAAUCUUGGGAACUCUCUGAAAUUAUACAGUCCUAACAUUUGUUGUGCAGAUGAAAAUUAUGAGAACAUGAGAAAUAGGAGGGGUCGUUGUUCCCUUUUUACUUUUUUUUUUCUCUAACUGUUUUACAUCUAUUUUUCCAUGCUGUUAUGAGUAGAUAGUUUUUGCUGGAGCAUUUGUUAUAUAGUAUCUGGAUACUUUUCUAACUGUUAAAUAUGUACAUUUUGAAAUUAUUAAAUAUUAACAAUUAGCUAAUUACCCAUUGGAGAACAUGAUAUAUCAGCAGAAAUGAUUAUUGACAAACUAUUAGUUGUAAAGGUUGCUAGUUUUAGUUUCUGCACGGAAGUACAUAAAGUUGUUUUGUAGUCGUUAUAAAACACAUAGGUUGUAGGUAGAAUAACUGUGAUCUACAGAAUCAUUGCUCCUAGCUGAACACUUCGUUGUGUCAUUUAAUAUGCAAUGGUUAAUUGUAUAGAGGCAACACUUGCAGGCUGGACAUGUACUAUCUCUAUUGUUCAGUCCAUUUCUGUAGAUACUGGUGUAUCCACAACUUAGCAGGUAAGGGGGAUUUAGUUAGUGCAUAACAGUUGCUGUUCCACUCUACUUAUUUUUAGUGGUAUGCAUCUGGGGUUAAUAAGGGUAUUGAUAAGGCUGUUAUUUUUAUAUGCAUUUGUGUGUUGUGUUUUUCUGGGCCUCGGUAGCAGAGAUUUGUGGUGAUAGCUAGAACAUGUGUGAUACCCUGUGGAUCUGACAUUUUGGUCCCCGAGGAGACAGAGAUUUUAGCUGUAGAAAAUAAUGUUUGUGAUUGUUUUCCAUGCAGAGGUGUGUAAAAUAAGUAUUUAUGACAUAAGAAGUGAAUUUUGUUGUUUUAAGUAAGGCCCUUAAUUUGUGUCUACUAUUUGUUUAUAAACUAUUGUCUUAUUAGCUAUCGUAACUUUCUUAAGGGAGUCUUCUUUCCAUGUUACUCUGAUAACAUUUAAAAUUCUAUUGAUUCCACAUCAAGGAACCUUCUUCUUCUCUACACUGGUGAAGCUAAUAUUUUGGAUUUGUCUACCUAUAUUGUUGACCAUGUUCUUGAUUACUAGCUUAGACAUAGAUCCCAAGUUGAGAUUUCACCUAUAUAUGUAGUCUGCUGGUUCAUUUGUAAUGACUGCUAUGUGGUAUUCAACCUACUGGAAACAACAGCUAAUUCUCUCACAAAUUAUACAUUACUUUCUUGAAUAGGUGACUGCAAUAUUUAGUAAGUAACAACUUUAACCCUUUCAUUACUGUAUUUAUUUUGAGAUGUUCUGUGUUUCUUUCGGUUACUUUGAAUAUAAUAAAGAAUUUAGUAAAAUAGUUUAGUUAUCAUUCAGCUAGUGUUAGGAACAUAAAUUGUGACUAAGGUUUGGUGUAAGAAUUUAAUUCAAAACUUAUGAAAACAUUUGUACUCAGAGCCAGAGCUGGUUUCAGCCAGGUUGGUAAUGAAAGGGUUAAGGUUUGCUUAAACAGGACUGACAAACAGGCUAAACAAAAGACACUUCUGUUGCCCUUCAGAAUUAAACAAAAUCAGAGAGAUACUCUGAAUUUGUAUUCAUUAUAUAAUAUAUUCAUUAUAUAAUAUAUUCAUUAUCUUUUUAUACAUAGAAAAUUAACAGCUGAUAUUAUCAGCUGUUAAAUUUUAAUUAGGGAAACAGAAAUAAAUUAAAACAUCAAAUAUGCAUUUGUUGUUCAUAUUACAUCAGUGUGGUAAAAUAUGUAAAUAUUUCUACAAUUAUAUGUAGUAUCUCUAUUUUCAAGUUAUAUUUCAGCUCAGGUGUGGCUGAGAAGUUUGCUUACUAACUAUGUGGUUUUGGGUUCAAACCCUUGGUGAUCUUCUAUUAUAGUCUUGAGCCAGCCAAAGAUCAUGAGUGGAUUUUGUAAGCAGAAACUGAAAGAAAUCCUGUUGUGUGUGUGUGAGCCUCUUUGUCUUGACAUUGUUUGUUAGUUGUAAAUGAGUUUCACUGUCAUACAAGAGGAGACCUGUUUCCAGUCUAUGAUGAAAACAUAUUCAACCAAAUAGGGGUUAGGUAUUGCUUUGCUUGGAAACAGGUGAGGGUUGUUGACAGGAAAAGCAUCCAGCUGUAGAAAAUCCACUUCAGUGAAUUCUGUCAACCCAUGCAAGUGUAGAGAAGUGGAUAUUGAAAUGAUGAUGAUAUGUGUUUAGUUAAGCGUAUGUAUAUAUGCAUGUGCAUAAUUUUUAUGUUUGUUUACAUUUACAUCAGUCAUUAUAUUGCAGCCAUACUGGAGCACUGCCUUGACAGGUUUACUCAAAGACCUCAAUCUCAGUACUUGUUUUUAAGUCUGGUGCUUACUCUGUUGUUGUCUUUUGCCAAACUGUCAAGUUAUGGGGAUGUAAACAAACCAACACUAGUUAAUCACACACACACACACACACACACAACAAACACAACAUAUACACACAUACACAUACAUACACACACAACAAACACAACAUACACACACAUGCAUUUGUGUAUGUAUGAUGGGCUUCUAUACAGUUUCUGUCUACUGAACUCAUUCACAAGGCAUUGGUCAGCCCAGGGCUACAGUAAAAGAUACUUGCCCAUGGUGCUGUGCAGUGUGACUGAACCCAAAACUAUGUGAUUGCAAAGCAAGUUUUUUAACCACAUAGCUAUGCAUGGCUAUCUGUUGAUAGCAUUGCAUUUAUAUCUUUUAUUCUUGAUACUUUUCCCAUUUUGUAAUAUUAUAACCAUAGUCCUGAAUUUUAGGAUUCUUCCAUUUAACUUAGACUUGAUAAGUCUGUAAGCAACCACAUCAUUCUGAUUUUCAUUUUAGGUCUGUAUAGUACCUUGCACUGUGUUCCAAGAUACAGAGAAAAAAGUUCUAAUUCUAUUCGUCCAAACUUCAGCCGGGGCUGCACAUUGCUAGUUUGAACUUUCUUGUCUCAACAAUAACUUUAGAUUAAUCUGUUUUGGAUUGCUUAUAUCUGUAUCAAUUCAUUCACUGCUGAACUUUCCACUAUCUUCUAGGUGUUUUAUAUAGCUCUAUUCUAAUUACUUUUAUUUUGAUAUCUGAAUCACUUUGCACUUGAUUUGCUACAUUAUUUACAUUUGACGGAUAUUUGUCCUCAUUUUGUUUGUUGUUAACAUGUUUUGGCUGAUAUACCCUCCAGCCUUCUUCAGGUGUCUUGGUGAAAUUUCAAACCUAGGUUCUCAUUCCUAAGGUAUUUUUCAAUGUUGUUGUUGUUGUUGUUGUUGUUGUUGUUGUUGUUGUUAUUAUUAUUAUUCAGAUCACCUGAUGAAGGCUGGGGGGUAUAUCAGCCGAAACAUUGUGUUAACAACAAACAAGAUGAGGACAAAUAUCCGUCAGAUGUAAAUAAUGUACAUAAUUCCGCAUCUCUUAAAUAUAGAACUGUACUUGAUUUGCUAUCGUUUAUUAUCAUCCCCUAAUUUAACACUUCAGUCUCAUUGCAUCCAGUAUUGUAUGCUUGCUUUUCUGAUGCUUCUUAGUUCUGAUAAUACAUCCUUCAAGUUCAUAUUAUCCUUGAAACACAGAAACAAGCUUAAUGCAUCUAUGCACACAUACACACACACUCACAUCACAACCAUUUGUAUGCAUAAUAAAAUCUAUCUAAACUCCGUACCCAUAAAGGAGCCUUUACAUCAGGGGUUCUCAACCAUUUUCUCUCUAUGGACCCAUUUGAUUAUUUUAUUCUGGUGGACCCCUAUUGCCAUUCAAUACUUAAAAACUAGUUUUAUAGAAACUUCCUUCAAAAUUCCUAUUUUGUUUUUCACACAUUCUCUUGUGUAGGUUGAGCUAUGUAAAAUGUUUGAGAAAGAAACCUAACAAGUUCUUGCAAUACAUACCACUACAUCUAAAGCAAAACUUCUUUGUGGGGUCCUUAAAAUACUAUUGUGGGUCCCCAGUUAACUAUUUUAUUGUGCAUUCGCUGCUGGAAUAGGGAAUGGUUGGAGAUCACGUGCUCGGUAGCCUCAAAUCGCCAGGCCUGGUCGGCAUUUGUGAGAGAUGCAGCAUUGAGGAUGCAUGAAGCCAGAUCAACCCACCCUGGGUGAAUGCUGCUCAAGUCAAGUCAAGUCAAAUGUGUAUGUAUGUCCCUGCAAAUCUUAUAUGGGCCCUGGUUGAGAACCAAUGCUUUACAUGGUCACUCAAACUGCUAGGAAAAAAAUAAGCAGCCAAAUUUCCCUCACACUGUAGCCUACUAGCUAAAAACAUGAAGGCCAAAUGGAAUUAUGUGCUCUUAGAUAUACUAUGUCUCAAAAUUCAUACAGGCUGGUCAUGGCUAUAAUGCCUUUGAUCAUAGCUCUGCUUGAUUAAGUAUGUCCUAGAGCUAUAUAUGUCCUUGUGUAUAUGAGGAACACUAUAUCAAUACAGUCUUUAUGAACUCACCCAUGUCAUGUUCAGUCAUCUCUAAAACAUGUUUAGCAAUUUCAGUGUCCAGAGAUGCUACAAGAAUAUCAUCUUAAAUGUUUUAUCUUCCUUAACUCAAUCAAAUAAGUAUGCCUACUCGGCAAAAUGCUCGUAACAUUUGUUGCUUCACUAAGUUGAAACUCUAAGCUUGGUUACCACUUCUAAUAAAUACUAGGGAUAUUACUUAGCAACUGAGUAGACUUUACCUCUGCCACACUUGUGUAUGAAAUGUUUUAUCAUAUAACAGAUUCAGAUUUAACAAGGUGCAGGUGUGGGCUGUGUGGUUAAGAAGCUUGCUUCCCAACCAUGUAGUCUUGGGUUCAGUCCCACUGUGUGCUACCAUGGGUAAGUGUCCUCUACUAUAUUUCCUGGCCAACCAAUGCCUUAUGCGUGGAUUUUGUAGCUGGAAACUUGGAGAAGCCCACUGUGUGUGUAUAUGAGAGAGAGAGAGAUAUACACACACGUAUAUGUGUGUGUGUACUCUUUAUUUAGAGUUUAAAUGAGCAACAUUGUCAUGCAAAUGAUGUUAUUCAUUUCCAGUUUUCUGUAAAAAAAAAAAAAUGUCAGUUCCUAGGGAAAUAUUACCUUGCUUGGAAACAGGUUAGGCAUCUGGCCAUAGAAAACUGUCUUAACAAAUUCUGACUGACAGAUGCAAGCAUAGUAAAGUGGAAGUUAAUAUAUAUGUAAAGAAGUGUACUGUGUGGUCCCAGAUCAAAUUAAAUGAAAGCAUACCUAAGUGAUAAAAAUUUGUAAUAUCAGUUACUCUUUUACCAUCAUCACAUUUGUCUUAUCUCUGAGUCUAUAUGAAUUACAUUUUACUCAAUUCAUUUUCCUUCUAAUUGCAACUUUCUAUAAAUAUUCUACUUUUCCAUGUAUUUUACCAGUCUGUUAAGCUGCAACACUCUCUAUUAACAUUGUGUUACUCUUACUCUGUCACUCCUACUUUUUAUUCUGUUCCUUAUCUUCCUCAAAUUAACAAAUUAAAAAGUUAAUAACUGCAUGCUUACCAGGAAACAGGAUAGACAAUAAGUUACGAAUAACUGUCAAGUGUAAAUUAAUUGACAUAUACAAGUGAUUAGUGAUCUCCAGAUAAGAGCUAGUAUGGCUUAAAGACACAAGGCAAACUAGUGAAGGAAGUUGUAUCUGAAAAAUACUUCUGUCAUGUAUGAGUUCAAGGAAGUACUAGAUGACACCUGAUAGAGGAGAAGAUAGUAAACAAUGGGUACUGCUGCAAGCCACCAGCAGAUCCGCUGAUGGAUCAAAGUUUGAACUGGACAGAGAAUGUCAUGAAGAGGGAAAUAGUAUAGUAGUCAUAAAGAUUAGAAGGCAUGCCUGGAAAGAAUAGAAGAACGGUGAGGAACAAUGAAUGAUAUCAGGUAGCUCUAGCUACCCAAUAGUGUUCAUUAUUCACUACUUUUCUUCAAGACAUUGAGCAGUGAUUUGCCAAUGUUCUGAACCAAGGUGAUAAGCAGAGAGUGUGUCGGCAUUUACCUUGAGUGAUGCUAGGAAUAAAGAGAUAUGGAAAUGCUACUACCAGAGAUUUCUGAAUGAGAAAAAAAAUGUGUUAGAGAGCAAGAUUUGUUCCUGAUAGACCCAACAGAAGAGUGAGCUAUUGAGGUAUAUAGCUAUACAGAUGAAAGAGGAAUAGUUGUGUAGAUGUUGAGAAUAUCUGGCAGAAUAGGCCACACAUUAGUCACUCACAUAAUCUAUCAGGUGAUACAGGAAGUAAUCUCAAAUGACUGGUAUAGUAAUAUGAUUGUCAACUAAUAUAGAAACAAAGAAAACUUUAUAAAAAGGAGUAAAUAUACAAGGCAUCAAAUUAAUAGGCAAAGGAUUGAAUGUGCAAGGUAGUGUCCCUCAGUGUUUGGCCAUCAGCCCUUUCUCUUUAUAAUAAUUCUCUAGGCUAAUACAGAAAUAAAAUACAAAGCUGGCUGACAGUUGAAGUGUUGCAGAAUAGUUCCAAACCUGAAGCAGGCCCUAGAAUUGCAAGAACAAAAUGUUCAUCUACCAUCAACAAAAGUUUUAGUUAGCAGAAGAGAGCACAGAACUCUACUAUCACAUGGAAAACAAUCAAUCUUGAUUUUUAGAAAAGGAGUAAAUAUGAAUUCUAAAGUGUAUACCCACUAUAAACUAUAGAUCCUCAAAAGUGUGGUGAGAUUUUAGGUAGGUUUUUAGAGAACUUUUAUAUGUUGCAGAUGUAGUUAGCAGUGAGAUCUCAUAUGAAGGGAAAUCUAUAAUUCACUGACUAUAAAACAUCUACAUGUAAGAAUUACAGAACAUAAAUGAGUAAAGAUACUCUGAUGCUCAUUUUUUAAUGAGUAUCAGAGGAAAUUAGCUGUAGUGUGUAAGAGAAAAAACUGCACUGGUACAGGUACUUUGUACAUGAAGGAGGACAGAUGUAUGAAGAAAAGUGAAGGAACUUUCAGAAAAGGAAGGGUAAGGGUGAAGUGGUGAAUUUUGAUAUCUGGAUGCUCAAUUAUUUCUAACAAGUUACAAAUUGUUGCUUUUCUAGAGAUUAGUCAUCAAACCCAUGCCAAUUUGUAAAAAUUGAUGUUUGUGAAAUAGCAAGGUCCUUAUAUAUCUUCUAUAUUACGUAUAUUUCUACAGAGAACAAUAGAUAUUUUUGCUGUACUAUUGUUUAUGGUGAAAAGCUCACCUUUCUCACAGGUAACCCCAUAUUAAUGAUUAUUUCUAAACUCAAAGUACCACAUUGUUUUUCGGAUCCAAUAACGAGUACCACCAAAUCAUAUUAGUAUAUCAUUUCCAUUUUUGUUAUCUCAAUUAAAUUCCAUAGUGUAAUAUAGUGGAGCAGAUUUGGAAUUAGAUUCCUUACAUUAGUUUUCAAUAUAAACUUUGUAAGCAUUUUCAAUAACCAGGCUUGUUUUGUAUAAUUAUAGACAGUUGUCAUAAAACUUGAAUAUUUUUUCUUCUUCUUUUUAAAGCAACCUUCAUCUUAUAAAGAAACUCCCUGUUUCCAAAUGUGCUUACCAGUUUGUUGCUUUCUGAGUUCACCAACUUCACAGUAGGUAUUCUGUAGUGUUUCUUUUUCAUUUUUGAAGGUAUACUUCCAAAGACUACAUAAACAGCUGUAUAUUGAAAUCAUGGACUAAAUUAUAUACAUUCUCUUAAUAUUCAAGUUUUGUAACAUUUCUUGUUGCUUCAUUAUGUGUUGGAUAAAUCUUACAGAGUAAACUUAUCUGGUGACUGAAAGAUGCAAGCGUGGUUAUAGGCACAGAUUUGGCUGUGUGGUUAAGAAGUUUGCUUCCCAACCACAUGGUCUUGUGUUCAGUCUCACAACAUGGCACCUUGGGCAAAUUUCUUCUACUACAGCCUCAGGUUGACCAAAGCCAUAUGAAUGGAUUUGGUAGACAAAGACUGAAAUAAACCUGUUGUGUGUGUGUUUGCUUGUUUGUGUCACCCUGUUUUGACAUUGCAUGGUUGUUGUAAAUGAGUGUCACUGUUAUACAAGCAGUGUCAUUUAUUUCCAAUAUUCUGCAAAAAUAUGUCUGGCCAUGGGGAAAUAUUGCCUUGCUUGAAAAGAGAUAGGUUUGGUUGCAUAAAGGGCAUCUGGCUGUAGAAAAUCUGUCUUCCAUACAAGCAUGGAAAAUUUGGCAUAAAAAUGAUUAUAAUGAUAAUGGUUUGUUUUAACUGUGUUAUAGCCAUAUUCCAUGCUGUCAUGGAAGAAUUAGGAACAUGUAAAAUUAUGUGUGAACCAAACUAAAAAAGAACUUUAACCUACUUCCUUGUUUCAGAUCAACAAUUAUUUUUAAAGGCUCACAAGUAAUUAUUAAACAAUAAUUCCAGGUAGACUAUCAACUGUAAAUCUAAUAAUAUAGCUAAUAUAGUUUUUUUAUAAAAAUUUUGACUUAUUUUCCUCAUAUAUUAAGGAAAAAAGAAUUUAUAUAUCUAAAUUAUGUGUUUAUUAUUUCUGGGCUGUGUUUCUAUGUUCCAUUAUUAACAGUUUUUGCUCUAAGAUAAAAAAAUAUUUGUAAUGGGUGGAUUCUUUUUCACUCUGGAAUAAUUUUGCAACUUUAGCUUUAAGUUUGUAGCUAAAUGUUUGGCAUAGCUAUAGGUAUUCAUGAAUUAUUAAACACCUUAGAAAUAUCUAUUAGCUCACACACACACACACACACACACACACACACACACACACACUCGUCAUUGUUGUGCGUCUUCUUUCCAUGCUGUUAUAGGACAAGUCAGAGGAUUGCAUUUUGCUCUUGUUUCAUUUUGGGCUUGGUUUUUAUGGAUUGACACCCUCUCUACAGCACAGGCUGUACUGGAUGCUUUUUCUUCUGUGACACUAGCAUUAGAGAAGUUAUGUUUUUAACAAUACUAAAGUAUUCCCACAACCUUAUUUAUACUUGACAAAGUGUAUGGUGGCCAUUUUUUCAUAGCACCACCACAAGAGAGGUCACUGUUUUCUCAACACAACUAAAAAGACUUCUUAUUCCCAUGUUUCAACUCCUUUGCCUGUUUCUUUACAGAGUGUUAGGCAUGACUGAUAGUGACAUUGGAUGAGUGAAAGGAGUCCUUGGUAUUCUGAGGCAGGUAUGUUUAUUCAAGGCACAGUGACUCUGGAGGUAAAAUGAUGACAGAUACCCAAGAUAUGUGAGAGAAAAGGAGCAAGUGUGUGAUGGCAGAUAAGGUGAAAUGACAUGAUCAUUGGUAGUACAGGAGAAGAGGGUAAAGUUAGUGUAUUGAGCAAAAGUGAUCCAAUACAGUCUCCUAUUACAUAGACUUCAUGGUGGGCUGGAAAGGUUAAGUGAAGAGAGUUGUGAUUGGAGAACUAGAAAAUGGGUGUGUCCUGUAUUAAUGAAUGACAGGAGCAUGAGUGAGGGGAAAAACUAACUGAAAGAUAUCUGGGAUAAAAUACUCCAAGCUAAAAAAGAUGGUAUUCACCUCUUGUUGCUGAUUAUUGCUUUAUUCUCAUACACUAUAAACUAACUUUAGUCAAUAGUCUGCCUGCCCCUCCCAACUACUUUACAAUGUUUUGUUGUUUAGUCACAGGUCAGCCUUGAUUAAGUAGAUCUAUGAUCAAAAGCAUUCCAACAAAUGAUUAUACUGUCUUUUUGUAUAACUAGGAAUAUACUGUCCCAUGUGUCUUUCUUUUUAAUGAUAGUAAGGUAUAUUUGAAAGAAGUUAAGUUGUUAUAUUUAACAGAUCAAGUAAUUGUAUACAAGUUGCUGUGCCAGCUCAAAACUGAAACUUAUUUUGCAAAUUAAAACACCUACAGUAGCUUUUAAAAUAUUUUUAAAUAAUUUUUUGUUACUCCUAUUCUGUUAAUUUUUUUUUUUUUUUUCUAGAAAUAAUUCUUGAUCUUUUCUAUCAAUCUGCAGACUUAUGCUAGUGCUGUGUAAAAAGCACCCAUGUUGGCGCCACAUAAAAAAGCUUCCAUGCUCAUUCCACAUUAAAAACACCAAGCUGCUAUCUGUAAAGUGGUUGGUGUUAGGAAGGGCAUCCAACCUUAGAAACCAUGCCAAAACAGACAAUUGAAGCCUGGUGCAGCUCUCUGACUUGCCAGCUCCUGUCAAACUGUCCAAGUCAUGCCAGCUUGGAAAAUGGACAUUAAAUGAUGAUUGAUUUCCAUUUCAGUAAAUUUAUAUCAAAUAUUGAGUUGAGAAUGACAUGUACAUUGCUGUUAAAAUAUUGAAAAACUA
rnacentral:lncRNA from 1 species